rnacentral:pre_miRNA from 1 species
AUAGAUAUCUCCUGGAGAUCAUAUUAAAAUACAAAUUCUGAUUCCAGAUGUCUGGGAUGGGGCCCAAGAAUCUGUAUUUCUAAUAUGCUCCCAGGUAAUGCUCAU